AUGCUUCUUUUCCCAGGGGGCCUGCCGAGGGCCAUUCCCAGACAGACAAUACCCCAGGUAGUUUUAAGGCCAAAUUACCUAAAAGCGGGAGUACAAGAGGCUUUGCUGUCCGUGGGCCGCCCUUCAGUCACCAAUCCAUCCACAGCCCGGGCCCUGCCACUCAGGCAUUGCCACAGCAAUGCUGUGCUUCAGUUUUGGGAAGGUGGAUUGCUUCCUGCUGGCCUGAUCUGUGGACAUUGCUGUGCUUCCCGUGGAGUCACAUGGAGUCACGCAGCGCUUAGUUCUCCCACCAGUGAUGUGUGAAAAACAUGUGCAUGUUUCUUGCAGAAGAUCCCAUCCCCAUCUCCACCGUGGCCAAUUACGCCAAACAGUUCAGAGAGAGUGCCUGCUCUCCUUGCCUUCGGUGACCCGAAAUCCUUUGUUUUACCUUUUUGGAAUCCUAAUUCCAUUAAUGUAGUUGAAAUAUUUUUCCUGACCUGCUGUUUGCUGUUUUUCAGCAGGCUGAUUACCUCCUCCAACGUAAACUGUCAACUUCCCAGGUUUCCCCAUCAGUGAUAUGUGAAUACUUGUGCACUUUUCAGUACAGGUCCUCUACUCCCAGCAUCAUGGGCCACUUAAACCAAAAAUGUUCACAAAGCAUGCCUCUUCUCCUUGGCUUUGCUAAUCCAUAUUCUUUGCUUUACUUAUAUGGAAUCGUAAUUCCAUUAAUAUAGUGGAAAUAUCUCUCCCGAAUCUGCUUUUGUUCUCCUUAGUAGUCGAAUUCAUUGCUCCUGGCCUGAUUGGUGUUCUUUCCAGGGCUUCCAGGGGAACCCCAUAUAUUAUGCUUAAUAGUUUCCCCACCAGUGAUAUGAGAAUACUUGUGCACUUUUCUGUGCAAGUCGUCUAAUCCCCACCUUCACUGUGGCCACCACAACCAGAGUUUUCAGAAAGAGCACUCAUGAAUGUUAGCUUUGCUGACCCACACAUUUUCUGUUUAAAUAUUUGGAAUCCCGUAGUUGAAAUAUCUCAUGUGAAACUCCUGAUUUGUCUUCUUCCAGCAGGCUGAUACAUGCUCCAAUCAGAUCUGUGGACUUAAAAGUGCAUCCAGCGGAGUCGCAUAGAUGGUGCUUGAUAGAUUUCCAACCAGUUAUGUGUGAUUAUGUGUGUACAUUUUGGUUAAUGUCAUUUCAUCCCGAGCGAUGCUGAGGUUGCUUACAUGAAAGUAUUCAGAAAGCAUGUCUUCUUUCAUUAGUUUUGGUAAUCGAUGAUCUCUUGUUUCAUUUUUUAAAAACUAACUCAAUGAAUAUUGUUGAAAUAUCUCUCC
rnacentral:lncRNA from 1 species